AAAAUGACAUCCAAAAUUUGGUUUGUUUGCUUUAGUCAGACAGUGCCGAAUUAUUGGGAUUUGGGUUCUGUCAAAUAUUUGUUUGGCUGACCUUAAAAUAAUUUAGCCAGAUCAUGAAAAAAGGUAUGGGUGAUAAGGCGUAAUAGUUGGUACUCUUUCGUGUCCAUCCCUUUCGCUGAAAGCCUUAUCUAUUUUUGUAAAAAGUUGGCUCAAUAAUAUGGAAAAUUUGAAAAAAUAUAGUUUUUUUUUCAACCAUUG
rnacentral:misc_RNA from 1 species